GUCUGUGUCUCUCAUUAAGGUGGGGGCUACUUUCAGAUGGGGAUUUGGACAGAGAAGGCCUGGAUCUCAUUAUGAAGUAUUUCCUCACUCCCUGCAUGUAAAUCCAUAGAGGCUCCUGCUCCCCAAUACACUCUCCAGUGAAAAUCGGUUCCGCACUCUACCCCAUUCCAAAUCCUCCCACUGGUGACCCGGACAUACACCACCCUCAGGAGAUGGUAAAUGGACUGGGGGCACACCAAUAACUUCUAUACUUACCUUUUGAUUUGUGUGAAGCCCUGGAACUACAAGUAUCUACAGUUUCUGGCAUCUUGGACAUAUUUCACCUCCUAUAUGCUGAGGAAACUUCUUGAACUCCCGUAAACUGCUUGAAUCUUCACUGUUUGCAUCACUAAUCAACAGUAUUACAAAAAAAGCCAUCUACCAAUUGGUUUGAAAACACCUCAAGAUGAAUUAGUAAUUUUUAGUUUUGGAGCACAUUGGAGAAAGAACAACUUGUAUUAAAAUUUGCAACUAUACAACCAUGGGAUAUGAUGAGGUUAUAACUAAUGUAGCUCUGCAAGCAAUAAUAAUACAUUGAGUUAUGCCUAGAUAAGGGUCUGAGAGGCAAAGCAUAAUGUAGAAUCAAUGUUCAAUGUUUUGAAUCAAUGUGCUAUGUAUCACCCCCGCAGGACCAGCACUAGGGCUUUGAAUUUAGCUAGUAGCGAUGUUGUUGGCUAACAGAGAGGAUAUAGAUUGCAAACUUUAGCCUUUAUCCUCUUGAUUAGCCAAUAAAGGUAUCAUGGCUACUUCACUUAUCGCCUAUAUUUCUAGGGCUAACACGGUAAAAACUCUCAUUGGCUAGGAGUAAGGUCAUACAAAAACUGAGACAAAUGGGGCAUCACACAGAAGAAAAUAGCUCUUAACUAGCAAAUAUGCACAGCCACUUCUCAUUUUCUUCAUUCAGGGUGCAGAACCAGAACUGGGCUGUUAGGUCAGCAGUACACACACCUGGACUUCAUUUCCCUUACCAACUGCUUUCUUGCCUUGCAUAGUUCUGGAAAAAGUGCACUAGGCUUAAAGAGGCACUGUCAUUGUUAAAAAAAACUUUCAUAUAUUGCAGGACUCAUUAUUAUAUGACAUUUUACAAUAUAUACCUGUUAAUUUUUUUUUUACAUUUUCACCUGAAAAUCAAGCUCAAAAUAACCACCAAUAGGCCUCGCCUGUCUUUUAGACAGACAGACUAGUCUAGAUUUUACAGCAUACUGGAUACCGGCCAUAAAACAUACCGGUAUCCAGUAUAGGAGAUUUCUAUUGUGUAUGCAAAACUACAGAUAAAGUAUGUGUGGACAUGCUGGGAGCUGUAGUUUUAAAACAGCUUGAGGCAACACUGCUCUAACAAAGUUAUUUACAAACAUUGCAGCUUCAGUUGUUACUAAACUACAACUCCCAGCAUGCUGAAAUAGUCAAAGCUUUCUCGGACUCCUGAAUGACAAAGAAGUUGAUCAGACAUUCAGGAGUCUGUGAAAGAUGAAUGACACACAUAGUGACAGCUAUGCUGAUUAGC